GACGAACGCUGGCGGCGUGCUUAACACAUGCAAGUCGAACGAUGAAGCCUAGCUUGCUAGGUGGAUUAGUGGCGAACGGGUGAGUAAUACGUGAGUAACCUACCUUUAACUCUGGGAUAAGCCUGGGAAACUGGGUCUAAUACCGGAUACGACCAAUCUCCGCAUGGGGUGUUGGUGGAAAGCGUUAUGUAGUGGUUAUAGAUGGGCUCACGGCCUAUCAGCUUGUUGGUGAGGUAACGGCUCACCAAGGCGACGACGGGUAGCCGGCCUGAGAGGGUGACCGGCCACACUGGGACUGAGACACGGCCCAGACUCCUACGGGAGGCAGCAGUGGGGAAUAUUGCACAAUGGGCGCAAGCCUGAUGCAGCGACGCCGCGUGAGGGAUGACGGCCUUCGGGUUGUAAACCUCUGUUAGCAGGGAAGAAGAGAGAUUGACGGUACCUGCAGAGAAAGCGCCGGCUAACUACGUGCCAGCAGCCGCGGUAAUACGCAGGGCGCGAGCGUUGUCCGGAAUUAUUGGGCGUAAAGAGCUUGUAGGCGGUUUGUCGCGUCUGCUGUGAAGGCCGGAGCUUAACUCCGUGUAUUGCAGUGGGUACGGGCAGACUAGAGUGCAGUAGGGGAGACUGGAAUUCCUGGUGUAGCGGUGGAAUGCGCAGAUAUCAGGAGGAACACCGAUGGCGAAGGCAGGUCUCUGGGCUGUAACUGACGCUGAGAAGCGAAAGCAUGGGGAGCGAACAGGAUUAGAUACCCUGGUAGUCCAUGCCGUAAACGUUGGGCACUAGGUGUGGGGGACAUUCCACGUUUUCCGCGCCGUAGCUAACGCAUUAAGUGCCCCGCCUGGGGAGUACGGCCGCAAGGCUAAAACUCAAAGAAAUUGACGGGGGCCCGCACAAGCGGCGGAGCACGCGGAUUAAUUCGAUGCAACGCGAAGAACCUUACCAAGGCUUGACAUAUACUGGACCGCAUCAGAGAUGGUGUUUCCCUUCGGGGCUGGUAUACAGGUGGUGCAUGGUUGUCGUCAGCUCGCGUCGUGAGAUGUUGGGUUAAGUCCCGCAACGAGCGCAACCCUCGUUCUAUGUUGCCAGCACGUAAUGGUGGGGACUCAUAGGAGACUGCCGGGGUCAACUCGGAGGAAGGUGGGGAUGACGUCAAAUCAUCAUGCCCCUUAUGUCUUGGGCUUCACGCAUGCUACAAUGGCCGGUACAGAGGGUUGCGAUACUGUGAGGUGGAGCUAAUCCCUAAAAGCCGGUCUCAGUUCGGAUUGGGGUCUGCAACUCGACCCCAUGAAGUCGGAGUCGCUAGUAAUCGCAGAUCAGCAACGCUGCGGUGAAUACGUUCCCGGGCCU
rnacentral:rRNA from 1 species